CUGGGGUCAAAGUACAGUCCUGCGUUCUACACCUGAUUCCGGGUAGCUUCUGCUCUCUGUCUAGCUGUGUAACUAACCAGGAGCUCCGUGAGCGUGGUGAAUUGUUUGGUGGAGAGCGGUUUACCCCCAUGAAGAAUCGGCUUAUCCUAGACCUGGUUUCUAGGACGGAUACAGCAAAGGCAGUGGCCAGCUCAUCUGUGGAAUUAACCUGCCUGUUUGGUAGCAGCACCGCAAAUCUUGCCCCGAUUAAGCAGGGUCUGUAUCACACUAAGCCCGCAGCGGAGGUAAGCGGAUAUAUUGCUCCUAAUACUGGAUGACUGCAGAGACUAAGGCCGUAUGGAUGUGACACCUUCAGAUGACUCAGCGGUAGAGCACGGAGGAGAACCGGAUGUGUUAGAUCACUCGAAGACUGAGGAGGAUGAAGUUCU